GAGUUUGAUCCUGGCUCAGGACGAACGCUGGCGGCGGGCUUAACACAUGCAAGUCGAACGAGAUACUCCAGCUUGCUGGAGUGGACAGUGGCGAACGGGUGCGUAACGCGUAGGCAACCUGCCCUUUAGUACGGAAUAACUUCGGGAAACCGAUGCUAAUACCGUAUGACGUCUUUGGAUCGCAUGAUCUAAAGAUGAAAGCCUUCGGGCGCUAAGGGAUGGGCCUGCGUCGGAUUAGGUUGUUGGUGAGGUAAUGGCUCACCAAGCCCACGAUCCGUAGCUGGUCUGAGAGGAUGAUCAGCCACACUGGCACUGAGACACGGGCCAGACUCCUACGGGAGGCAGCAGUGAGGAAUAUUGCGCAAUGGGGGAAACCCUGACGCAGCCACGCCGCGUGGAGGAUGACACCGUUAUGCGGCGUAAACUCCUUUUAUAUGAGAAGAAACCCCGGUUCGGUCGGGUCUGACGGUAUCAUAUGAAUAAGCACCGGCUAACUCCGUGCCAGCAGCCGCGGUAAUACG
rnacentral:rRNA from 1 species